AGUGAACGCUGGCGGUAGGCCUAACACAUGCAAGUCGAACGGCAGCACAGGAGAGCUUGCUCUCUGGGUGGCGAGUGGCGGACGGGUGAGGAAUACAUCGGAAUCUACUCUGUCGUGGGGGGUAACGUAGGGAAACUUACGCUAAUACCGCAUACGACCUACGGGUGAAAGCAGGGGACCUUCGGGCCUUGCGCGAUUGAAUGAGCCGAUGUCGGAUUAGCUAGUUGGCGGGGUAAAGGCCCACCAAGGCGACGAUCCGUAGCUGGUCUGAGAGGAUGAGCAGCCACACUGGAACGGAGACACGGUCCAGACUCCGACGGGAGGCAGCAGUGGGGAAUAUUGGACAAUGGGCGAAAGCCUGAUCCAGCCAGACCGCGUGGGUGAAGAAGGCCUUCGGGUUGUAAAGCCCUUUUGUUGGGAAAGAAAUCCAGCUGGCUAAUACCCGGUUGGGAUGACGGUACCCAAAGAAUAAGCACCGGCUAACUUCGUGCCAGCAGCCGCCGUAA
rnacentral:rRNA from 1 species